UCCAUGCCUAAUGAGAUAGGGCCGGCUGGAAUUCGAUGAGUACGUACGUGGAUGAAGGUAGCUGCUGCGCAGAAGGGUAAUAUUUAUGGGUGUAUUUUUGCUCACCACCAUUUAGAGUGGUGUAUGCUCACCACCAUAUUUAUCACCGUUAGAUGAAUUUGAAUUUUAAGAUUUGUGCUUAUCCACUACACGAAUCUCAAAAUUCAAACUCAUCUAACGGUAAUUAAUAAGAUGGUAAGCAUACACCAUACUAAAUGGUGGUGAGCAAAAAUGCUCCCAAUAUUUAUAGGGAAACCGCUAAUUACAAGUUUCUUAGAUUACCCCUCUGUUUUUCUUUAACGUGUUACACAAGGUUUCUUUGUUUCGUCUCCUUAUAUUGGUGGGAUUCCAACUUUGACGCAAACUAGGUCAAGGUAAAUCAAUCUAUUCCAAGAGAAUAUAAUGACCUCAAGACUG
rnacentral:lncRNA from 1 species